UCCGUAGGCGGUUUGUUAAGUCUCCUGUGAAAGUUCAAGGCUCAACCUUGAAAUGUCGGGGGAUACUGGCAAACUUGAGACUGUCAGAGGCAAGUGGAAUUCCCGGUGUAGUGGUGAAAUGCGUAGAUAUUAGGAGGAACACCAGUGGCGAAGGCGGCUUUCUGGACAAAUACUGACGCUGAGGAACGAAAGCGUGGGGAGCGAACAGGAUUAGAUACCCUGGUAGUCC
rnacentral:rRNA from 1 species